AACGCACAUUGCGCCCCUUGGUAUUCCAUGGGGCAUGCCUGUUCGAGCGUCAUUUGUACCUUCAAGCUUUGCUUGGUGUUGGGUGUUUGUCCUCCCCGUUUGUGUUUGGACUCGCCUUAAAACAAUUGGCAGCCAGUGUUUUGGUAUAGAAGCGCAGCACAAGUCGCGAUUCUAGCCAAUCAACGCUGACAUCCAGAAGUCUUUUUUUAACUUUUGACCUCGGAUCAGGUAGGGAUACCCGCUGAACUUAA
rnacentral:misc_RNA from 1 species